UACGAAGGGGGCUAGCGUUGCUCGGAAUCACGGGGCGUAAAGGGUGCGUAGGCGGGUUUUUAAGUCAGGGGUGAAAUCCUGGAGCUCAACUCCAGAACUGCCUUUGAUACUGGCGAUCUCGAGUCCGGGAGAGGUGAGUGGAACUGCGAGUGUAGAGGUGAAAUUCGUAGAUAUUCGCAAGAACACCAGUGGCGAAGGCGGCUCACUGGCCCGGUACUGACGCUGAGGUGCGAAAGCGUGGGGAGCAAACAGG
rnacentral:rRNA from 1 species